rnacentral:tRNA from 1 species
GCCGGAGUAGCUCAGUCGGUAGAGCAACUGAUUCGUAAUCAGUAGGUCGGGUGUUCGAUUCACCUCUCCGGCACCA